AGCUAACGCGUUAAGUAGACCGCCUGGGGAGUACGGUCGCAAGAUUAAAACUCAAAUGAAUUGACGGGGGCCCGCACAAGCGGUGGAGCAUGUGGUUUAAUUCGAUGCAACGCGAAGAACCUUACCUACUCUUGACAUCUACAGAAUCCUGCGGAGACGCGGGAGUGCCUUCGGGAACUGUAAGACAGGUGCUGCAUGGCUGUCGUCAGCUCGUGUCGUGAGAUGUUGGGUUA
rnacentral:rRNA from 1 species